GGCUUCGGUCUGACCCAUCAGGCCUCACUUUAUUUGAGAAGCAAGAUGGCGUUGUAGAAAGAGCUCUGGUCUGGAACCUGAAGGAUGUAGGGUUUGUCAUUUGUCUGUUGGGUGAUCUUGGGUCUCUGCCCCUCAGGGUGGGAAGCUAUGUACCGCUGGACUGAGCAGGCAUACACCAGUAUUUAUUGAGCACUUAAGCGCUUCGACCAGUGCUUGGCCCAGAGUAAGCGCUU